UGAGGCUGCUGAGUCGGCAGUAUAAAGUCAGCUGCAGCCACACAGCAGUUUCAGUGCAAACCAUUUUCUUUUUCUAGGGGGCUGAUAACCUGGUCUGGUGCAUUUGCUGUCUUUGAGAUCAACAUGGCACUUCAGGGUGUGUUUAGGUAUUCCUGGCUGUGUCUCCUGCUCUUCAGCUUUGGCACAUGUUCCCCUGUGC